UGGGGAGUGUUCAGCAUCGGUGUUUUUGAAGCAGCACAUCCUACUUUAGAUAAGAAGCAAGCUUCAUUGGGUAACGGACCAUCAAGGAAAGGAAGUUUAUUUUCCAAUUCAGAUGCAUUGUCCUCUAGUUUUAUCUUCUGGUUCAUGCAGCUCAGUAGAUGAUCCAGUACACACUGUUUUGGAUGCAUUCCUUUGUCGAAG
rnacentral:lncRNA from 1 species